GGCCAGGUAGCUCAUUUGGUUAGAGCGUUGUCCUGAUAUGCCAAGGUUAUGGAUUUGAUGCCUGGUCA
rnacentral:tRNA from 1 species